rnacentral:tRNA from 1 species
UGCAAGGUGCCUGAUUAAAGGACAAUCUUGAUAGGAUUGAAAAAGUGUGAACAGCCCCCGCCGCACCCUUGUAA